AAUAGAAAAUAGACUACCGUAUUUAUACGGAAAAGCUGAAAAGGUGAGGUAAGAGCUCACCAGUUACAAAAGUAAUUUUGUAAGCUUGGUAAACCUUCGGAGCUGAAAAAUCAAAUAAACCAAGGAUGCCUGCCUAUGGUAGGUAAAAGGGUUUCUCGCCCAAUCUUGGAGGGUAGAUUGUUGGUGGGUAAGGGCAACUUUACUCCUAGAUAAAUGAUAGAACUCGACAGAAUCUGGCUUAUAGAUUUGCACUUUUA
rnacentral:RNase_P_RNA from 1 species